rnacentral:rRNA from 1 species
GAUGAACGCUAGCUACAGGCUUAACACAUGCAAGUCGAGGGGAAACGGCAUUAAGUGCUUGCACUUUUUGGACGUCGACCGGCGCACGGGUGAGUAACGCGUAUCCAACCUUCCCAUGACUAAGGGAUAACCUGCCGAAAGGCAGACUAAUACCUUAUGGUCUUCACUGACGGCAUCAGAUGUGAAGUAAAGAUUUAUCGGUUAUGGAUGGGGAUGCGUCUGAUUAGUUAGUUGGCGGGGUAACGGCCCACCAAGGCAACGAUCAGUAGGGGUUCUGAGAGGAAGGUCCCCCACAUUGGAACUGAGACACGGUCCAAACUCCUACGGGAGGCAGCAGUGAGGAAUAUUGGUCAAUGGGCGAGAGCCUGAACCAGCCAAGUAGCGUGCAGGAUGACGGCCCUAUGGGUUGUAAACUGCUUUUGUAUGGGGAUAAAGUCAAUCACGUGUGAUUGUUGCAGGACCAUACGAAUAAG